UGGCGAACGGGUGAGUAACACGUGAGUAACCUGCCCUUGACUUUGGGAUAACUUCAGGAAACUGGGGCUAAUACCGGAUAGGAGCUCCUGCUGCAUGGUGGGGGUUGGAAAGUUUCGGCGGUUGGGGAUGGACUCGCGGCUUAUCAGCUUGUUGGUGGGGUAGUGGCUUACAAAGGCGAUGAUCAGUAGCCGGUCUGAGAGGAUGAACGGCCACAUUGGGACUGAGACACGGCCCAG
rnacentral:rRNA from 1 species